rnacentral:rRNA from 1 species
UACGGAGGGUGCAAGCGUUAAUCGGAAUUACUGGGCGUAAAGCGUGCGCAGGCGGUUUGUUAAGUCUGUUGUGAAAUCCCCGAGCUCAACUUGGGAAUGCAAUGGAUACUGGCAGGCUGGAGUAUGGUAGAGGAAGGUGGAAUUCCCGGUGUAGCAGUGAAAUGCGUAGAGAUCGGGAGGAACACCGGUGGCGAAGGCGGCAUCCUGGACCGACACUGACGCUGAGGAG